rnacentral:lncRNA from 1 species
CGGACAGAGAGGGAGAUAAACUACAACCGAACAGCCUCUCCAGUCCUGUUGUCCCAUGGAUGGGCAUUAUGUUGGAAAUAACAACAUUUUCUCUCUCUCUCUCUGUGUUGUGGAGUAUGGAAGAUGUUCGCGUCUGCUACCAAGUGCUCCAUAGAGACCUAACAGCUCUGUGUUUGAGGACCGACGCUGGAGACAGGGAGUGAACAUUUAAUAACCAACGGACAGGAACAGAAUACGAACAUCAAACAAAAGAAUAACAGCUUCUGGACAAGGGAAACGUAACCGACAAUAAUGCUGACACGGGGAACCAACUGAGGAACAGAUCGAGGGGCAAUCAACAAACGUGAAGGAGUCCAGACGCAGACGUCAUGUGAUAGAAGGGGCAGGACCUGAGCCCUAGGACCAUGCCUCAGGACUACCUGGCUUGAUGACUCCUUGCUGUCCCCAGUUCACCUGGCCGUGCUGCUGCUCCAGUUCCAACUGUUCUGCCUGCAGCUAUGGAACCCUGACCUGUUCAUCGGACGUGCUACCUGUCCCAGACCUGCUGUUUUCAACUCUCUAGAGGCAGCAGGAGCGGUAGAGAUACUCUCAAAGAUCGGCUAUGAAAAAGCCAACUGACACUUAAUCUUGUGUUACUGACUUGUUGCACCCUCGACAACUACUAUGAUUAUUAUUAUUUGACCAUGCUGGUCAUUUAUGAACAUCUAAACAUCUAGGCCAUGUGCUGUUAUAAUCUCCACCCGGCACAGCCAGAAGAGGACUGGCCACCCCUCAUAGCCUGGUUCCUCUCUAGGUUUCUUCCUAGGUUUUGGCCUUUCUAGGGAGUUUUUCCUAGCCACCGUGCUUCUACACCUGCAUUGCUUGCUGUUUGGGGUUUUAGGCUGGGUUUCUGUACAGCACUUUGAGAUAUCAGCUUAUGUAAGAAGGGCUAUAUAAAUACAUUUGAUUUGAUGAUAAUUAUACAGUAAGUCUAUAGACCUGUCUGAUGAUAAUUAUACAGUAAGUCUAUAGACCUGUCUGACCCCACAUCUCAAGGAGCUGGACCAAAUCUGUGUUAAUUAUGUUUUUAAAUUGUUUAUUUAACCUUUAUUUAACUAGGCAAGUCAGUUACAUCUGGGUUAAUAACUCCAGUGUUACAGUACCACCCAGUAAACAGGACCUGGACUAAAUAUGGGUUAAUAACUCCAGUGUUAGUACCUACCAUUAAACAGCAGGCCAAUAACCUAUUCAUAAAGCCUUUCUCUCUUCAUGAAUCAUCUUCACUAUGGUCUUGAAGGGACAGGAAGGGUCUGUUCAGUGAAUUUCACAGAGAGUAGAAAAGUAGUGCCCUACUUUAUAAA